rnacentral:rRNA from 1 species
GACCGAUCCUGGCUCAGAUUAGACGCUGGCGGGAUGCUUUACACAUGCAAGUCGAACGGCAGCACGGACUUCGGUCUGGUGGCGAGUGGCGAACGGGUGAGUAAUGUAUCGGAACGUGCCUAGUAGCGGGGGAUAACUACGCGAAAGCGUAGCUAAUACCGCAUACGCCCUUCGGGGAAAAGCGGGGGGGGACCUUCGGGCCUCUCCCGCACUAUUAAGAACGGCCGAUAUCGGAUUGGCUAGUUGGUGGGGUAACGGCUCACCAAGGCGACGAUCCGUAGCUGGUUUUGAGAGGACGACCAGCCACACUGGGACACGGCCCAGACUCCUACGGGAGGCAGCAGUGGGGAAUUUUGGACAAUGGGGAAACCUGAUCCAGCCAUCCCGCGUGUGCGAUGAAGGCCUUCGGGUUGUAAAGCACUUUUGGCAGGAAAGAAACGGCACGGGAUAAUACCCCGUGCAACUGACUGACACCUGCAGAAUAAGCACCGGCCUAACUACGUGCCAGCAGCCGCGGUAAUACGUAGGGUGCAAGCGUUAAUCGGAAUUACUGGGCGUAAAGCGUGCGCAGGCGGUUCGGAAGAAGAUGUGAAAUCCCAGAGCUUGGCACUGCCGGAACUGCAUUUUUAACUACCGAGCUGAGUGUCAGGAGGAGGUGGAAUUCCGCGUGUAGCAGUGAAAUGCGUAGAUAUGCGGAGGAACACCGAUAGCGAGGCAGCCUCCUGGGAUAACACUGACGCUCAUGCACGAAGCGUGGGGAGCAAGCAGGAUUAGAUACCCUGGUAGUCCACGCCCUAAACGACGUCAACUAGCUGUUGGGGCCUUCGGGCCUUGGUAGCGCAGCUAACGCGUGAAGUUGACCGCCUGGGGAGUACGGUCGCAAGAUUAAAACUCAAAGGAAUUGACGGGGACCCGCACAAGCGGUGGAUGAUGUGGAUUAAUUCGAUGCAACGCGAAAAACCUUACCUACCCUUGACAUGUCUGGAAUCCCGAAGAGAUUUGGGAGUGCUCGCAAGAGAACCGGAACACAGGUGCUGCAUGGCUGUCGUCAGCUCGUGUCGUGAGAUGUUGGGUUAAGUCCCGCAACGAGCGCAACCCUUGUCAUUAGUUGCUGAAAAGGGAGCACUCUAAUGAGACUGCCGGUGACAAACCGGAGGAAGGUGGGGAUGACGUCAAGUCCUCAUGGCCCUUAUGGGUAGGGCUUCACACGUCAUACAAUGGUCGGGACAGAGGGGUCGCCAACCCGCGAGGGCCAAUCCCAGAAACUGAUCGUAGUCCGGAUCGCAGUCUGCAGCUCGACUGCGUGAAGUCGGAAUCGCUAGUAAUCGCGGAUCAACAUGUCGCGGUGAAUACGUUCCCGGGUCUUGCAUACACACCGCCCGUCACACCAUAGGAGUGGGUUUUACCAGAAGUAGUUAGCCUAACCGUAAGGAGGGCGAUUACCACGGUAAGGAUUCAUGACUGGGGUGAAGUCGUAACAAGGUAA